GAUGAAGAACGCAGCGAAAUGCGAUAAGUAAUGCGAAUUGCAGAAUUUCCGUGAGUCAUCGAAUCUUUGAACGCACAUUGCGCCCACUGGUAUUCUGGCGGGCAUGCCUGUUCGAGCGUCAUUUCAACCAUCAAGCCCUAGGCUUGCGUUGGAGCCCUGCGGCUGCCGCAGGCUCCCAAAUCCAGUGGCGGGCUCGUCGUCGUACCGAGUGCAGUAAACAUCCUCGCUCAGGGAACGUGACGGGUUCUUGCCGUGAAACCCCCCACAUAUCAAGGUUGACCUCGGAUCAGGUAGGAAUACCCGCUGAACUUAAGCAUAUCAAUAAGCGGAGGA
rnacentral:misc_RNA from 1 species